rnacentral:rRNA from 1 species
UACGGGGGGUGCGAGCGUUGUCCGGAAUUACUGGGCGUAAAGGGUGCGUAGGUGGUUUGUUAAGUCUGCUGUGAAAUCCCCGGGCUCAACCUGGGAAUGGCAGUGGAUACUGGCAAGCUAGAGUGCGGUAGAGGGUAGUGGAAUUCCCGGUGUAGCAGUGAAAUGCGUAGAGAUCGGGAGGAACACCAGUGGCGAAGGCGGCUACCUGGACCAGCACUGACACUGAAGCGCGAAAGCGUGGGGAGCAAACAGG